UACGUAGGGUGCAAGCGUUACUCGGAAUUACUGGGCGUAAAGCGUGCGUAGGUGGUUCGUUAAGUCUGAUGUGAAAGCCCUGGGCUCAACCUGGGAAUGGCAUUGGAAACUGGCGACCUAGAGUGCGGUAGAGGGUAGUGGAAUUCCCGGUGUAGCAGUGAAAUGCGUAGAGAUCGGGAGGAACAUCUGUGGCGAAGGCGACUGCCUGGACCAGAACUGACACUGAGGCACGAAAGCGUGGGGAGCAAACAGG
rnacentral:rRNA from 1 species